UUUUUUUUUUUUAAUUUAGACACGUUAUUUGGGUCAGUGUGGUGGAACAACUGUUAAAUCAACAAGAAAUAUAAUGAAGCGAUGCUGAUUCGACGUAAUCGGUUGUAACUCGGCGUAAUCGGUCAACAUGCCAUGGUACGGAUGCCGAUGUAGCAAUUGCCAUUAAAGCAUGGUUUUGCUUUGCAAAAGAUUAUGAUAAUAUAAUGAGAAGAGAAGCAGUGUUGUAAAAUAUUUAUGUAUUAUAAUUUCAAUAAUAAAUAACUUUUUACGACUAA